GGUAAGGGUGAGAAAGAGACCUAGAAAGAAACAAGAUGACCAGGUUCAUAUGAACAGCAGAGAGGUUAUGACAUCUGAAAAUGUCAUUCAGAAGUAAAGGUUCUGGGUCGGCCAGGUGGUGCGGUGGUUAAGGCACCUGGAUCCCACAUGGCUGACGGCACAGUUCGAGUCCACCUCAGAAAACACUCCGGCUGCUUUACCGACUCAUCUCACAAAGGUCAAAAAGAAGCAAAAUGCACUCAACAGAUUUGCCCUGAGAGCGUAUACAACUUGUUAUAAAAGUGCUACAGAAAACAGGCUGAGGAUGACCCAGGGCGCAGAAGCCUGCCAUCUCUACACUGGUUCAGAGUUUCUAGACAUGAGGCCCUUGGAUCAAAAGCACCAUCUGGGAACUUACCAGACAUGCAGAUUCCUGGGUCCUGCCCUAGAAUCUGAGACUCUGCAGGAGGCCAGACUCUCUCUGCAGCCUUUGUGGACAAACGCACUGCAAUCUGAAAAGAAAGCAAAACCAAAGGUCACAUGGACGAAGCGAGCCGAUCUCAGACUCCAACUUCCCAGCACUACACGCAGCCUAUGGAUCCCCAAGCACAGCUGCUCCCAUGUAAGGGUGUGACUCCAACUGCAGUGACAGAACGCAGCCCUCUUCCAGGAAGCAGCGCUGUGACGCUAUUUGGAGGAGUGAGUGCUCCCUUCGGGCAGGGACCACGCAUCCAUUGCUGAGUUUUCAAUCCAGUCUCUACUACACUAUGUGAUUCAUGGCACCUAUCGGAAUGUCUAUCUGCAGACUCUCUACAAGCCAAGUCCCCGAUACAACCCUGAGCGCAGUAUGAGAAACAGAAACUUAACAGUAAAAGGAAAACAGGAGAAACAACUGACUUAGGUCCUGGCCCCUCUGAUUGAUCAGUGUCAUCCCAGUGCAAGUUCCUUCUGCAGAGGCCUAAAUUUCCUCAUCUGUAAAGUGGAAGAGGGGCCACGUUCCCCCCCCAAGUUCCUUCUGCAUGUUCUUCCGUGAGGUAGAACUGAAAUAACUUGUGAUGCAGGAUUAGAUCAAGUUGUGACCAUAAAUCCACAAACCACCAGCAAAAGACAGUAUGACAUCCUCCCCCUAGACUGACCUCCCAAAUCGAGGAGACUAGGGUGAUGACAUACGGACUUCAUGAAGAAAUCCGCUGCUGCUUCCACAAGAAAUAAAUGGCUGACACAAGAUUCCUUGGGUGGCUGACCAUUAAAUUUUACAGGCUGGACCAAGACAGUCUUGUCUCGUGUAUUAUAAAUACUGUUGGCAUAAAACCAGUACCUGACUCACUAUUUUACUGGUUUUUCCACUUUUAAAAAGUCCUCCAUUAUAUAAAAUACUGUUAUGCUGUAUGCUUUCAAAUAUACAAAAUAUUUCAUACUGUUUUAUUUCUUCAUUUACAAUUGUAAUAUCUAUUUUUUAAGUCAAUCAAUGAGAAUAACGAUGCCAUUCUGAUGGAUCUGAAAACACAACCAGAGGUCUAUGUGAUGCUUGCGGUUUUUCACACAUCCACCUCAACACC